UGUCUUGUAGCUGGAAAGAGGUAAAAGUCCCCUUGCCAAAUGAGAAAAGAAUAUACAAAGGCUGCCUAAUGUGUGUGUGUGUGUGCAUGUGUGUGUGUGUUUGG